rnacentral:rRNA from 1 species
GUAGGGAAUAUUGGGCAAUGGAUGCAAGUCUGACCCAGCCAUCCCGCGUGCCGGAAGAAGGCCCUCAGGGUUGUAAACGGCUUUUGACGGUGAAGAAUCGACAGGAUGCGUCCUGUUUUGACGGUAGCCGUUGAAUAAGCACCGGCUAACUCCGUGCCAGCAGCCGCGGUAAUACGGAGGGUGCGAGCGUUGUCCGGAUUUAUUGGGUUUAAAGGGUGCGUAGGCUGGAAGGUCAGUCAGCGGUGAAAAGCUGUCGCUUCACGAUAGUCUUGCCGCAGAUACUUCCUUUCUUGGAUGAGGAGGAGUCCACUGGAACGGAUGGUGUAGCGGUGAAAUGCAUAGAUAUCAUCCAGAACACCGAUUGCGAAGGCAGGUGGCUGUACCUUAAUCGACGCUGAUGCACGAAAGCAUGGGGAGCAAACAGGAUUAGAAACCCGGGUAGUCC